rnacentral:misc_RNA from 1 species
UCGAAGUUGGCCCCCGAAGCUCUUCCGCCCCCCCCGGGCCUCCCGGGGAGGUUGCGGGCGGCGAGGGGUGCCUCCGGCCGCACGCCCAUUCUUGUCUACUGACCCGGUUGCCUCGGCGGGCCGCGCCUGCUGUGCUACAGCGGCCGUUCGGGGGGGACGCCUGAGGGGGACUCUUGUUUCCUAGGCCACGCCCCGGGCAGCGCUCGCCGGAGGAUUACUCUGGGAAAACACACUCUUGAAAAAAACAUACCGUCUGAGCGAGCACGCAAAUCAGUUAAAAACUUUUCACAACGGAUCUGUUGGUUUUUUUAUCGAUGAAAACCCACGAAUGCGUUA